AACGAACGCUGGCGGCAUGCCUAACACAUGCAAGUCGAACGAGACCUUCGGGUCUAGUGGCGCACGGGUGCGUAACGCGUGGGAAUCUGCCCUUGGGUUCGGAAUAACAGUUAGAAAUGACUGCUAAUACCGGAUAAUGUCUUCGGACCAAAGAUUUAUCGCCCAGGGAUGAGCCCGCGUAGGAUUAGCUAGUUGGUGAGGUAAAGGCUCACCAAGGCGACGAUCCUUAGCUGGUCUGAGAGGAUGAUCAGCCACACUGGGACUGAGACACGGCCCAGACUCCUACGGGAGGCAGCAGUGGGAAUAUUGGACAAUGGGCGAAAGCCUGAUCCAGCAAUGCCGCGUGAGUGAUGAAGGCCUUAGGGUUGUAAAG
rnacentral:rRNA from 1 species